AUGUACCAGUAAGCAGUAUAUUUCUAGUCUAUCGGGUUAGUUUUAUGCUUGAGCUGUGCAUGCUCAUUGUUUUUUGUAUAUGAAGUAAGAUUCUGGGGAUCCACAGGGGCAUAUUUUGCACCCAUACUGAUUCAAAAGAUUGGAGUUGUUCCUGUAAAGUUUGCUUCAACGGAUUGACGUGAUUGCGCUUUUGAAGGUCCUCUGGUGGAGGAAAGGGAACUUUCAACAGAAUUCAGGAUGUCAUGAACCGUUUCGACAUGAAAAUGGAAGCCUGGAUACGUUGAAGUGGUCUCGACACUUGCGAGGGUCACCGACAUUUUAUGUGCUCGAUCGUCUAGUCAAACCUGUAAAAGAUUUUCCCCAUUCAACGCUCUUACAAAGCUAAUAGUCUCUACUAGCUAUUUGAGGUUUGUAUCCAUAGCCGAGUUUUGUUUAUGCACUACUACAUCGACCUUCUUGUAUAAAGGUGAAAUAUCAGGUAUCCUACAUAUUAGAAUGGAUUAGAGAAAAAUGCUCAAAAAAUGUUUCAAAUAAGGUAAGCAUUACAUGCAUGAAAUAAUUUUAAAAUAUAUGUUUUUUUAGAAGAGAGGAAGAAUAUAUAUGUAUAUAUAUAUAUAUAUAUAGUUUGUGGAAGCAGUCAUUAUUAAAUAUAUUAUUUUGAUGCUU